rnacentral:rRNA from 1 species
GACGAACGCUGGCGGCGUGCCUAAUACAUGCCAGUAGAACGCACAGUUUAUACCGUAGCUUGCUACACCAUAGACUGCGAGUUGCGAACGGGUGAGUAACGCGUAGGUAACCUGCCUGGUAGCGGGGGAUAACUAUUGGAAACGAUAGCUAAUACCGCAUAAUAUUAAUUAUUGCAUGAUAAUUAAUUGAAAGGUGCAAUUGCACCACUACCAGAUGGACCUGCGUUGUAUUAGCUAGUAGGUGAGGUAACGGCUCACCUAGGCGACGAUACAUAGCCGACCUGAGAGGGUGAUCGGCCACACUGGGACUGAGACACGGCCCAGACUCCUACGGGAGGCAGCAGUAGGGAAUCUUCGGCAAUGGACGAAAGUCUGACCGAGCAACGCCGCGUGAGUGAAGAAGGUUUUCGGAUCGUAAAGCUCUGUUGUAAGAGAAGAACGGGUGUGAGAGUGGAAAGUUCACACUGUGACGGUAUCUUACCAGAAAGGGACGGCUAACUACGUG